rnacentral:tRNA from 1 species
GGCAGGGUAAGCUAAAUAAACUCUCGGGCCCAUACCCCGAACAUGACGGUUAAACUCCCUCUCCUGCUA